GGUUCAGGAUGAACGCUAGCUACAGGCUUAACACAUGCAAGUCGAGGGGCAGCAGGACGAUAGCUUGCUAUGUUGCUGGCGACCGGCGCACGGGUGAGUAACGCGUAUCCAACCUUCCCCUUAGUAGGGCAUAGCCCGGCGAAAGUCGGAUUAAUACCCUAUGUUAUCCGAAGAGGACAUCUGAAUUGGAUUAAAGAUUUAUCGCUAAGGGAUGGGGAUGCGUCUGAUUAGGUAGUAGGCGGGGUAACGGCCCACCUAGCCGACGAUCAGUAGGGGUUCUGAGAGGAAGGUCCCCCACAUUGGUACUGAGACACGGACCAAACUCCUACGGGAGGCAGCAGUGAGGAAUAUUGGUCAAUGGGCGCGAGCCUGAACCAGCCAAGUAGCGUGCAAGGAUGACGGCCCUAUGGGUUGUAAACUGCUUUUAUGCGGGGAUAAAGUGCGGCACGUGUGCCGUUUUGCAGGUACCGCAUGAAUAAGGACCGGCUAAUUCCGUGCCAGCAGCGGC
rnacentral:rRNA from 1 species